rnacentral:tRNA from 1 species
GGCUUGGUAGCUCAGUUGGUAGAGCAGUGGACUGAAAAUCCUCGUGUCGCCAGUUCGAUUCUGGCCCGAGCCACCA